UCCUAAUCCCGCACUACAGUUACUGUCUAUACAUCAAACAGUAGGUAUAUGAAUAUCAACGGGACUAAUUUCUGUAAGUACCAUAAAUGGUGUAAAAGGUCUGUGCCACAGUAAGAAUCAGGAGAAUCAGAGCAGCCAGUGCAGAUAUAAAUGACCAAGGAGUAUCAAAAUAAGUAUGCUUGAAGCCUGCCCAUUGAACAUGCCAACUGUUCUUGUAAUACUGAUGAACAUCUCUAAACAACUCAACCAAAUAGCUCAUAUCAAUAUCAAAUGGAACUUCCUUACCCAGAUUAUUGAUGAAUCUUGCAACUUCUGCAUCGGUUCCAAAGUAAUUCUCA
rnacentral:misc_RNA from 1 species